GAUGAACGCUGGCGGCGUGCCUAACACAUGCAAGUCGAGCGAGGGUUUGCUCAGUAUUGAGUAUUCUAAGACUAGAAUGUUCAAUUCUGAGCAAAACCAAGCGGCGGACGGGUGAGUAACGCGUGGGUAACCUGCCCUAUACACAUGGAUAACAUACUGAAAAGUUUACUAAUACAUGAUAAUAUAUAUUUGCGGCAUCGCAGAUAUAUCAAAGUGUUAGCGGUAUAGGAUGGACCCGCGUCCCAUUAGCUAGUUGGAGAGGUAACGGCUCACCAAGGCGAUGAUGGGUAGCCGACCUGAGAGGGUGAUCGGCCACACUGGGACUGAGACACGGCCCAGACUCCUACGGGAGGCAGCAGUAGGGAAUCUUCCGCAAUGGGCGAAAGCCUGACGGAGCAACGCCGCGUGAGUGAAGAAGGAUUUCGGUUCGUAAAGCUCUGUUGUUAGGGAAGAAUGAUUGUGUAGUAACUAUACACAGUAGAGACGGUACCUAACCAGAAAGCCACGGCUAACUACGUGCCAGCAGCCGCGGUAAUACGUAGGUGGCAAGCGUUGUCCGGAAUUAUUGGGCGUAAAGCGCGCGCAGGUGGUUUAAUAAGUCUGAUGUGAAAGCCCACGGCUCAACCGUGGAGGGUCAUUGGAAACUGUUAAACUUGAGUGCAGGAGAGAAAAGUGGAAUUCCUAGUGUAGCGGUGAAAUGCGUAGAGAUUAGGAGGAACACCAGUGGCGAAGGCGGCUUUUUGGCCUGUAACUGACACUGAGGCGCGAAAGCGUGGGGAGCAAACAGG
rnacentral:rRNA from 1 species